rnacentral:lncRNA from 1 species
CAGCAGUUUCAGCAGCAGCGUACCCAGUGGGAUUCUCAAGCCAUUAUUUUAGCUCCAGCUGCCACCCCACUUUCCCAACCAGCCAGGGGAAGAGAUCGGGGAGAUAGAGGUCGCCCUCAAGCGAGGGGCCGGGCUAGAUUUUAUUCCAUUCCUGAUCGUGCCGAGGCUUUCUCGUUCGAUUUGGUUAUCACAGGUAUUAUACUGGUUAUUCACAAAGAGGCAUCGAUUCUAUUCGAUCCAAUCUCUACUUAUUCUGAUGUGCUAUCUUAUUUUGCUCCGCAUUUGGGUACAUCCCUAGAGGCCUUGAGCUCAUGUUUAUGUUUCUACACUCGUGGGAGAUUCCCUUG